rnacentral:rRNA from 1 species
UACAGAGGUCCCAAGCGUUGUUCGGAUUUACUGGGCGUAAAGGGCGCGCAGGCGGCUUAUUUUGUCAGGCGUGAAAGCCCCGGGCUUAACCUGGGAACUGCGUUUGAUACGGAUGGGCUAGAGUUCGGGAGAGGAGAGUGGAAUUCCCAGUGUAGAGGUGAAAUUCGUAGAUAUUGGGAAGAACACCGGUGGCGAAGGCGGCUCUCUGGACCGAGACUGACGCUGAGGCGCGAAAGCGUGGGGAGCAAACAGG